rnacentral:rRNA from 1 species
GGUGUGGUUGUUGCUGGCCCUCUCGGGGGCAUGUGCACACCCACCAUCCUCAUCUCUCCACCUGUGCACCUCUUGUAGACCUGGAUUGACUUUCCGAGGCAACUCGGUCGGGAAGAUUGCUGCGCUCUGUGAGCCAGCUUUCUUUGCAUGUCCAGGCCUAUGUUUUUCAUAUACCCCUAUAGAAUGUAACAGAAUGUAUCAUUGGGCCUUGUGCCUAUAAACCUUAUACAACUUUCAGCAACGGAUCUCUUGGCUCUCGCAUCGAUGAAGAACGCAGCGAAAUGCGAUAAGUAAUGUGAAUUGCAGAAUUCAGUGAAUCAUCGAAUCUUUGAACGCACCUUGCGCUCCUUGGUAUUCCGAGGAGCAUGCCUGUUUGAGUGUCAUUAAAUUCUCAACCUUAUUAACUUUUGUUGAUAAUGGAUUGGAUUGUGGGGGUUUCUUUUGCUGGCUUCUUCACAGAGAUCAGCUCCCCUUAAAUGCAUUAGCUGGUGCCCCGCGUGGACCAUCUAUUGGUGUGAUAAUUAUCUACGCCGUGGAUGUCUGCAAUCAUAUGGGUUUCGCACUGCUUCUAACCGUCUGUUCAUUCGGACAAUACAUGACAAUUUGACCUCAAAUCAGGUAGGACUACCCGCUGAACUUAAGCAUAUCAAUAAGCGGAGGAAAAGAAACUAACAAGGAUUCCCCUAGUAACUGCGAGUGAAGCGGGAAAAGCUCAAAUUUAAAAUCUGGCGGUCUCCGGCCGUCCGAGUUGUAAUCUAAGAAGUGUUAUCCGCGCUGGACCGUGUAC